rnacentral:tRNA from 1 species
CAAGGGUUAGUUUAUUAAAAUGUUGAUUUUGGGGAUCAGUGAUGGAAGAAUUUUCUACUCUUGA